AUAAACUUACUUCACAUUCAGAUGUAUAAAUAUUUACUUAUGAAGCCCAUGAGUUAAUGAAAUGAAGCCAUAUUAAUGAGUGAAACUACCUGAAAUCAGGACUUGUAGAUGUGGUCUAGUAAUGAUGUUAACAGCUUAUUUACUUUGUAUAUAUUUUCUCAUACAUAGUUCAUAAUAUGAUGAGAUCUGGAGGCACAUGGAUUAGCACUUCUACAUGUCACCCUAUUUCCAGGUUGUCUCACUUCAGUUAUGCUCCUCUGUCCAGUGUAAACAGCAGGCACAGCUAUCUUGUCAAUCUGCCCAGCACACAAUGGUCAGUGAGCCUGGAUAGGUCAGGUUAACCUACCAACGGCUUCAAAAAUACUAAAAUAUAGUACAUA
rnacentral:lncRNA from 1 species